rnacentral:rRNA from 1 species
AUUGAACGCUGGCGGCAUGCCUUACACAUGCAAGUCGAACGGUAACAGGUCUUCGGAUGCUGACGAGUGGCGAACGGGUGAGUAAUACAUCGGAACGUGCCUAGUAGUGGGGGAUAACUACUCGAAAGAGUGGCUAAUACCGCAUGAGAUCUACGGAUGAAAGCAGGGGAUCGCAAGACCUUGUGCUACUAGAGCGGCCGAUGGCAGAUUAGGGAGUUGGUGGGAUAAAAGCUUACCAAGCCGACGAUCUGUAGCUGGUCUGAGAGGACGAUCAGGCACACUGGGACUGAGAGACUGACAAGACUCCUACGGGAGGCAGCAGUGGGGAAUUGUGGACAAUGGGCGAAAGCCUGAUCCAGCAAUGCCGCGUGCAGGAUGAAGGCCUUCGGGUUGUAAACUGCUUUUGUACGGAACGAAAAGCCCUGGGUUAAUACCCUGGGGUCAUGACGGUACCGUAAGAAUAAGCACCGGCUAACUACGUGCCAGCCGCCGCCGUAA